CGAGACGUUUCUGACGGGGGGACGUGCCCAGAAAGGGGGGGGACACGUCCCCGUGGAAUGCUGCUUUUUUCCCUGUAGACUUAGGAGUCUUGAAUGUCUGCUCUAAAAUGGCAAAAUUUCCUCGUUCAUCUCUUUGUAUCUCCUUUGUCUGUUCUGGAUUGUUUGGGUUAACCAAACAGGAAGUUGCCCACAUGCCACACCAAAUGAAGUGUUUGGUGUUUCUAAAGCUUCUUCAUUUUGUUCUUUAGACACAUUCUCUUCUCUGUACCCUUCUAUUUCAUUCUGUUGCUGCUCUUCAUGAGUUUGAGGUGUGUCUUCUUUUGAUUUCUGAUUUUCUUCCUCAUGAUCAUGUCCUUCCUCAUUUUCUUGGUGUUCUUGAUCAUGUCCUUUUCCUUGAUGACUUAUAGGGACCUCUUCUUCAUGUUGAUCGUUUGGAACUUCUUCUUCGUUACGCUCUUCUUCCAUUCACUCUUCACCAAUCAUUGUGUGCAAUCUUCUACAUUUUCAACAUUUUCUUUAUCAACUUCUUUGGUUGCAUUUCCUUCAUCAACUUCUCUAUGCACUUCUUCUUCUUGGUGAUUAUGUUGAGGGAGUUACUCUUCUCUUCUCUGUUCUUCAUCUUCAGCUUCUUCAUUCUGAUUUGAUGUUGGAACUUCAACUUCUCUUAUUUACUCUUCUUGCAAAUCAUCUUCCAAAUUGGUUACAUUUGGAUUCUCUUGCUGAGCUGAGUCUUUCUCUUGUGUGGAUGGUGGCUCCAAAGGAGGACACACUUGCUCACUUUGUGUUGAUGUAGGUGGAACAUCCUUUGCUUGUACAAGAGGAACUUCUACCCUUGUUCUCUUCUUUCUAUGUAAUUGUGGUUCAACGACUUCUUUUUUUGAUUAUUCGAUAAUCAUUUGCUUAGGCACCUUCUUCAAUAUCCUGUAAGUCUUGGGUGUUUUAAGUGGCCUUUUCCUUUAUCUUUGGACCUUGAUGUUUCAACUUUUCUUAAAAUAGUGGGAGUGGUGGUAGCAGUAGCAGCUGGUGUGGUGGAAUUCUUUUUACUUGAGGAAGCAACCUUUGGAGCUCCUCCUCCUUUACCUUCAACAACCCUUGUGACCUUUAUUGGGACUCUUUCUAUGACUAGCUUUGCAUGACCCACUAGGUUGUGGUCGAGGCUGACCACCUACUAAUGGCACAAGAUCCAUUGGAUAUGGAUUUGAAAUCCAUUCUUGAGUCCAUCUAACCACAUUGCUCUCCCUGGCAUUCAUAUCCUUAACUUCUACAAAAGAAGGGUCUUCAUUGAAUAUGGCAAUGCUGUAGAUUUUCUAUGUAUUGUAGGAGGGGUGCAACCUAUUUCCAUCAUCUUUAGCGUUAGCUACCUCAGGGAUCCAUAUUUUUGAAGCUGAGUUGGCAAGCUUAAAAUCCAUCAUGCAAUAAUCUCUUAUUUUCACAUCAUAGUCAUCUGAUAGUUGGCCCAAUGAUCUUCUACUUUGGGCUCAUGCUUGAAGUAGGCCCUAAUGAUUGGGCCAAUCUUGCCAAUUGGAUCAAACUUAUUUUUCUCUACUAUCAAAGGUUUCAAUGAAUAGUUUAGAAGCUCUAGUUCCACACCUUUAGCACUUUUGUUUCAAUGAAUAGUUUAGAAGCUCUAGAUUAGAAAUUUGAAGCAUGGUUUAUGCUUGUUGACGAUCAAUACAUGUGCAUCCCCUACUUGUUUGCACUAGCUUGUUGGAAGGAUAUCUUGGCAACUUAUUUGGGGCUACAAUGCAACCAACCACUCUAAUAUAUGUGAAAGUUUUGAAAUGGAUAAAAUAGCUUACAAAUCUUUGGAUCUCAGCUGCUGCAUUUGGUGACAAUCUCUUUGCAAAAUCACCCUCCAAUGAUUUGAUUAUUGCAAAUACAAACCCACCAUUGACAACAUCAUGGAAUUUCCUACUCUUCUCAAGAGUCAAGUGAGGAUAGUGAUUGUAUAUUCUCAUUUUUGGAUCAUUCAAUGACCCUCUUCUCCUUAGCUUGGGAAUAGGUUGUUUGUGUUGCAAGCAAAUAAACCAAGUAGGAAGUCAUAUAGAACUUUGAGUCAUUUUGUACCCUCAGCAUCUGAUCAUGCAUGUUGUCACUUAUAAUUUUGCCCCAAUCUAUGUGUUCCUUUUGGACAACAAUGGUCUUGAUGAACAAGAGCAUCCAUGGAUGGAACUCCUUGGCAUUAGGUAACCCUACUACUCAGCUUAGGAGAGUGACUUGAUUUCUUGCAUCCAUAUGUAACAUGCUUUUGUGAAUUGUCUUCAACUUAUCUAGUUGUUGUCCUUUCCUUGGCCUCUCCAACAAAUGGUUGUUAAUGUAGUCCAUAGGAUGUGUGCGAUUCUUAUAAUAUUCAUCCCUUUACAUUCAUUUUUGCAUAGCCAUUAUAUGGAGGAAUACCAAAUACUCUUUUGAUUGAAUUUGGAGUCCUAUUUAGCACUAUUUCCCCCAGAGGCCCAUAGACUUUUCUUUAAGCUGCAUUGUAGUGUUUGGCAUAGGCCAACACUAGGUCUAAGGGUUGUAAAACUAAAGAAAUAGGGAAAGCUGCUGCUUGUACCAAUCCAGACUUUACCAAGGAUGCUCCCUUGUAGUUCCCGUUGCUUGGAUUUGCCAUCCUUUUUAGGAACUCAUCUAGGUCAAUAUGACAUAAAUCUAUGUUUGUUAUUUGUUAUUCAAAAAACACUAGCUUGGAGGGAGGGUAGUAACUAAAGAACUUUACUUCAUUGGAGUUGCUUUCUCUUCAAACAUCACUUCUCCUGCACAAAAACUAAGUUAGGAAAAUACACGGUGUAAGCUAAAGGACAUUAAUAUCAUUGAUAUUACUUUUUCAUCAUAACAUGUAUCCAUAUUGAACAACAACUAACAUUGCAUGAAUCAAGAGUAGAUGAAAUGGAGUUUAGGUCUGGAUUGGGGAUUGGGCUUGAGCUAGUCCCGAUAAGCCUGUAGUACUUGGGACCAAGGAUCCUUGAAGCCCGAUGUUUGACGGUCUAUUCAUUAUGGGUGGGGCUCAAGGUUUAGAGUUUACCAAGACUUUGACAUUUUAGACUUAGGCACCCUCGAAGCCUGUUCUAAGGAAUGUUUUGAGGCAAGGUGAUAGCGGGGAUCGGUGGUUGGGGGUCGGUGUAUCCCAAGUGUAAUAAUCAUCCUUCAUCCUUCAUGCCUGACGACUAAUGGAUCGAAGGCCAAUCGGGGAUUGGGGGUUAGGGUUCAAUUUCUUAGCUUGAGGAAAUUGUCAAAGGCCAAUUUCGAUCUCCAAAGGUUGACAUACUUAGGUUUUUUCUCCCUUAGUGGGGUUCAAGGUUCGAACCCAUGUCAUUGUAACCUAUGUCACCUGUCAUCUUCAACAUCGAAGGUUGAUGUCUGAAUGCUUUGGGGACAGAUUGGGGAUCCUUGAUCAUACUUUGUAUGAUAUUGGUAGAGCCCUGAGGCUCAAUCCUUGAAUUUGUGACCAACCUGUUGUCAUUUUAUGACACCCUUGGUCCAUCAGUGAGAACCAAUCAAAGAUAUGUUCCAUGGACCAGUUUUGCCUCAAUUGAUUAAGCACCAAGUCAGAGAAUUAGGAAAAUGCUUAAGUGUUCUUUUGUCAUGGGUCGGACUUUUGGUCUUUUCGCCUUGCAUCUUGCCUUCAGUCCCUGGGGUCCACUGGCCCACUCUCCCUCCCUUUUCCCAAAGGAUUUUGGAUUUUGGGGAACUGGUCUAACCUUUACUCUUUUGGUAAGCGUUUGACCAUUUCCCCGAACCUUUGUUGGAUUUUGGAUUUUGAGGAAUUGGUCUAACCCUUACUUUUUUGGUAAGUGUUAGAUUGUUUCCCCAAACCUUGAAAUACGAAAACCCUUUGUCAGAUAUUAGGGAAUUGGUCUAACCUUUACUCUUUUGGUAAGUGUUAGACCAUUUCCUUGAACCCCGAAAUAUGAAAACCAUUCCUUUGUCAGAUUUUGGAUUUUGGGGAACUUGUCUAACCCUUACUCUUUUGGUAAGCAUUAGAUCGUUUCUCUAAACCCUAAAAUACAAAAACCCUUCCUUUGUUAGAUUUCGGAUUUCGGGGAAUUGGUCUAAUCCUUGCUCUUUUGGUAAAAGUUAGAUUGUUUUCCCGAACCCCGAAAUAUGAAAAACCCUUCCAUUGUCGGAUUUCGAAUUUCGGGGAACUGGUCUAAUCCUUACUCUUUUGGUAAGCGUUAGACUGUUUCCCUGAACCUCGAAAUACAAAAACCCUUGUUAGAUUUUGGAUUUUAGGGAACUAGUCUAACCCUUACUCUUUUGGUAAGCGUUAGACUAUUUCCCUGAACCUUGAAAUACGAAAACCCUUCCUUUGUUGAAUUUUGGAUUUCAGGGAAUUGGUCUAACCCUUACUCUUUUGGUAAGUGUUAGACCGUUUCCUUGAAACCCAAAAUACAAAAUCCUUCCUUUGUUGGAUAUAGAAUUUUGGGGAACUGGUCUAACCCUUUCUCUUUUGGUAAGUGUUAGACCGUUUCCUUGAACCUCGCAAUACAAAAAAUCCUGCCUUUGUUGAAUUUCCGAUUUUGAGGAACUGGUCUAAUCCUUACUCUUUUGGUAAGUGUUAGACUGUUUCCCUGAACCCCGAAACCUAAAAUCCCUCUCCCACCUCCCUCUUGCCCCUUCGGUCUUUCGGACUCCGGGGUCCCUGACUCCUCAUUAUUAGUGACGGUUUCCUGAAGGCUCGAUGCCCAAUCUCCGAUGACUCCAAAUGUUGUGAUUAACUCCUACAACUUGUCUAUUUUCAUAUAUGGAACUAUAGGGGUGCAUUUAAUGUAUUUUGCAGGUUGCCAUCAAAGUAGAGUCCAAAGCCAUGCCUAUUUAUAAUUUCCUUGAUGGCCUUAAUGUCAAGUUUGCGUGCUUUGACAUUGGAUUGUCAGACUAUCCACCUUCUAGAAGUACUCUCCUUCUUGAGAUUCCCUUGUCAAGGUAUGGCCAGGUUUCUUGCAUGCACACUCAUGUCAGAUUCGACCACUUCCUUAUUUUCUCAGAUUGACAUUCUCUUGUACACGCUAGAGUUAGGGUUUCCCCUCCUUGACCGUUGGUUUCUUCUUUGCGAACAGUUUGCUAUAAGUAGGUUGUUAAGCCUCAUUGUAAAGGGUUCUCUCCCUAGUAGUUUGAGCUAUCUUCUAGUCUUUCACUUCUUUUGAAGACUUGUAUAUUUCUUGCAUUUCUGCAAUUGUAAGUUUGGUUGUUGGCCCGAGAAUGAAUCAAAAUCGUCAUUCUUGCCUCUCUUUGACAUAUGCAUGUUGCGUAUGUUUUCUUACUUCCAUGAUACUCUUUCACUUCUCUCGAAGACUUGUAUAUUUCUUGCAUUUCUGCAAUUGUGAGUUUGGCUGUUGGCCUAAGAGUGAAUCAAAAUCGUCAUUCUUGCUUCUCUUUGACUUAUGCAUGUUGUGUAUGUUUUCUUACCUUCAUGAUAAGUGUGUGUUUCCUGGCUUUCUCUUACAUAUAUGCUAUGUUAACUUGUUUUUGAGUGACUUGUGGGAAACCUUCUUACCUUUUGACAUGUAACAAAUUCUAACCUCCAUACAUGCUUUUGGUGUCAUUUAUGCAAUUGAAGUUUGUGCAUCUCCAAUGUAUUUUGAUUGAUUCUUUGUGUCAUUUUGGGGCGGGGAGAGAGACAUCUCUUAUGUUGGUGCAUCACCUCUUUACUUUCUGCAUUUUCUCACCUCUUGUCUCCUACAAGCUGUUAGAGUAGGUUUAGGAGUACAAUUUGAAGUGUUGGGUUGGUUCAAUACCUGCAACUGGAUAAAGAAGGAAGCCAACCUUCUCCAUAGAUUCAAUCCCUUGCGCAAGGUCCCACACUUUGGGUUUGUUUCCAUGUUUCAUGAGGUUGUUGAGUUGAUAGCUUGGCAAGGGUGCAAACUUUUGUGACAACACUCUCCUUCAAGUACAAGUUCUCCACCAUUAUCCCAAUUCAAUAAUUUUGCUCUUAAGCGAUUUAAUUGUGAAAAUGGCACAUGCCAUGAAGGUUUGUGUGGCUUCAAAGGCCUUAAUUUUGGCUUAGUGGUAGGAGCUCUACCUUUGAACUUUGUGAUUUGUGCAGCCUUUUGACCAUGUUGAGGGCAUUGCCCCUAGAUCCCCAUGAGGGUUGUCGCCCCUUGACCCUGAUGGGGUUGUUGCCUUUCAAACUCAUUGGGGUCUCCACUCCUUAGACCCACACUAGUUAUUGGGAUCUCUUGUCACAUAAGAAACUUGAUUACAAUGAGGGGUGACAACAACUGUUAUCUAACUCUUGAGUGUGUUGACUAAGAUGUUAUUAUGCCCAACUUGCCAAAAAUCUCUUUAGAUGAAGCAACUUUUACAUGACAUGGGCAGUGGAAGUGGCAUUGUAACUCAUUGUGGUUCAAAUGAAAUCGAUCCAAAUGUUGACUUUGAUGCUCUUGGUGAAGAGCAAUAUGAAGAUUAUUGAAUACUGAUUGUAAUUUUCGUUGUGUAUUGACUUUUGACAAGUCGCUAAAUUAUGAAUUUAUGAAUCUUUUCUUUUUGGCAAAUCACGAGUUAUUUAAACAUGUUUAAAUAUUGUGUUCUGUGAUAGACUGCCCCUAUUUGCCCAAUCUGACUUUCCAAUCAGCUUGAAGAAUUUUGACAAACAAUUGGCUAGCAAUAACUUGUGAACUGAAUUCUUUCUCUGACUGUUUGGGUUAAUGAUUUGUUGUCACCUGGUGCGUUUUAUUUGUUUUUGUGCAUUCAUUCAUUCACAAGCUCAAUGGCAACAUAUCUUACAAUUAUUAAGUAAACUACUGAACAUUUAUUGUAUACCAUUCAUUUGACAAAAUUCAUAUCAGAACAACUAACAGUAAGCAUUUGCUAAUGUUUCAAUUUUUCCAGCCAUCACCAUAACAUUAUUACUGUUCUUUCUCCUUAGACCACAAUAUUAUUUCAAAGAUUCAAUAUACAAAAUAGUUACAGCUGCAAAUGAAUUUAGCUGGGAACCUGGAAUAAAUUAGUUGCUGUGUAUCUCUUUCAGUCCUCACGUCCCAGCAGCAAUCUCUAUUCACACCAUAACAGCUGCAGCCACAUGUAUUCCAGGUCACAAAUUGAAGAGGCUCAGAAUCAUGGUUCCUGGCUGUCCUUCACACGCCCAGCACAAAUGCACACAGCGAAUUUCAUUAACCACACACAAUGAUUUUUGUUUACAUCCAGCAGGAAGAAGAACUAUGAUAUGCCCAGCCAAUAAAAUGUCUUUCGCGCAGCCAGAGUAUAUACGUCCAGCCAAGGGUAUUUGCAAUGCCCAGCAGGCAUAACUGUUCAUAUACAGCAAAAAGGAAACCCAACUGCUCAACAUAGGGGAUCAGCAGAUUAUUUAUUUUCUCACAUACUUAUCGCAGAAGUUAAGGAUCACGCCCAGCAAUAUUAAUGAAGUUGUUACAAGUCAAUGUGCAUCCAACACUAGUUGACUAGUCUGUACAUUACAUUCUUCAAAAUCUCCACUGUGUGUUCUGCAAGAGGGCCGAUUCUUUUGUGACAAGAAAUUGACACUUCCAGUUCGCCCAGCUGCAACCUCAGGGCUGCGAUUAAUGGCAUUAAAGUCUCUAAACCCUGCGAGUAUUUCUUUCUGAGCAACAUCAGCUUCUACCUGAAGAUAUAAUGUUCUAUGGUAAGUUAGAAGAUGUCCUUACCAAUCACCAAGGACUGCGACUUCCUCCAUGAAUGAACUUUGUCCUGCGCAUUCCCAACUCCAUGAUUCCAGUCACUGCAAUUUUGAUUAAAGAUUUCCCAGAUUUGAUCUUUCACAAAUGUGGGAAACGUCGCCAGUGAGGGUGUAUGUCCCCAAAAGCCAAUAAGUUUUCCAGAUUUUCUCAAGAAACACAAUUUCCAAGAUGUCCCAAUCUGCAUUUAAUGCUUUCAUUUAUAACUCUCAUUGGGCUCAUUUCCCAAGACACCAUGAAUGUGGGAUAAAUAACUUCUGUUUAAAAUAUCACUUCUCUUAAGUGAAUAAAGUGUACCUUUUAAAAUAAAGUGACUUUAUAAAUAAAUGUACUUUGAUUUAAUAGUCACAUUAUUAAUUUUAACUCCCUCUUUCCUCUAAAAAUGACCCUUUCAAUAAUAUAAUAAUAUUUUGACAUUUAAGGUCACUGUUUUAUGCGCCCAAGAUUUAAAACUUUUCGCUCUGGUUCCAAUGAGCUAUAACACUAAGGCUGGAAUUAAAUAUUUUAAUUAAAUUUAAACAUCCUUAGUAAAAUAAUUAAAAUAACUCAUUAAUGCAUCAAAUUUGCGAAACCGUGUUAGAACACAUCGGAAUCAAAUUCCGAUCGCACCAGAGUGAUCUUGAUGAUGAAUAAUAGAAAACGAGGCUGAUCGGGCGACUUACUAAAAUAGACGGCUUAUCCAAGAUUCUUGGAGACCAAUCUAGAGGCCAUAAAUCACUUUGGAAAGUGGUGUAUAACUCCAAUAAACCAACUGAGCUCAUCGGAAACAUCAGAUUAUUCAUCCGAACAAGCUGACGCGAACCCAGAGUAUCAGCUGCUAAAGCUUGCUGGAGAACCUGAAAAUUGGGGACAUUACAUGUUUACUGGUAAUUAUGAGUAUUGCUCUCUCUCUCUCUCUCUCUAUAUAUAUAUAUAUAUAUAUAUAUAUAUAUCUGUGUGUGUACAGCUGUACCCAGGCAUACUGUAUCCAAGGAUAUUUUGUCGUGCUGGACUACCUGAAUUCCUAAGUUGCAGGGUUCGCCCCUGGGAAGCCCUGGUACGGGUCCGGGUUCGACCGGGUCCGUGGUACGGGUCCGGUUCGACCUGGGUUCGACCAAGGUUCGUAAAACCCAGGGUGGGUUCGACCCGGGUCGAACCCAGUCGAACCCGGGGUCGAACCCAGUCGAACCCGGGCGGACCCAAUCGAACCCGCGUGGCUGGGCGGCCCAAUAAGUUAAAAAACAAACCAAAUUUUUUUUUUUUUUCAAUUCCGCCUUUAAAAAAGCGAAAAUUAUAACCUAAAAAACACUUCUAAAACAUCUUAUUGACACAUUUCACCUCAUUUGUGUUGCAAACAAAUUUUUUAUGAGAGCAGGUUGAAGAGAGGUUGAACAAAAUUUGGCUUCCAAGAUCAAAGAGGAGGAGUUGAAGACUGAUUUUAGAAGCUUCAACAAGUGUUGCAGCAUCAUUUCCAUACAUUUUCAAGCUUCCAUUGGCAGCAAGAGGUAGGUUUUUAAACAUUUUUUUCCAACUAUUUUUGUUUCACAAAUUGUCAAACAUGAAACUUGAAUUUUUUUUCAUUAUUUAGUUUUUGUUUUUGAAUAUGUUUAUUUUAUUUCUUGCCAUAGGAACUAGAAUGGCAUCUACAUCUUCCUCCAUUGGCAAUGAACAAGUAAUUGCAAAACAAAGAAAUGAUCCAAAUUCUCCCUUAUGGAAAUAUGUGGACAUUAUAAAACAACUUCCGGGAGGUGGGGGAUUCCGUUGGAAAUGCCAUGGAUGUGAUAUUGAACGUAAUAGUUCAUAUUAUCGAGUGGUAGGCCAUUUGUGUGGAAUAAAAGGAAGAGGCAUCAAAAAAUGCCCUGGCAAAAAUGGUAAACCUAUACCAGAUGAGAUAGUGAUGAAAUAUAUUAGGGAGCAUGAGGCGGCAGAAGAGAGGGAAGCCCGUAGAUUGAACCAAACCGCAUCAAAGAAAACAAGGGGAAUGCAAGGCCCUUCUAAUCCCAGUAUUGUAGUAGAAGACCACCCCUUCUUUGCCACAAAUGGACCUCAAAGUGAACCACCCUUGACACGUAAAAGAACAAAAGGGCCUUUAGAAACCGCAUUCCAAAAUGAGAGUAGAGACAAUGCUGAUCAAGAUAUAGUAAGGUGCAUUUAUGCAAAUGGUUUGUCAUUCAAUGUUGUUCGCUCCCCAUAUUGGAAGCAAAUGAUAAAAAGUGUUAAUGAGGCACCAAGAGGGUAUAAGGGCCCCGGUUAUGAGAAGGUACGUGGAACAUUAUUGGAGAAAGAGGUGAAGAGGGUUGAAGAUGCAUUGAAACCCAUAAGGGAUUCGUGGGUUGAGACAGGUGUAGCAAUUGUUUCAGAUGGGUGGAAAGAUGCUAAAAACCGUCCCUUGAUCAAUGUCAUAGCGGUGUCCCCUAAAGGGGCAAUGUUUUUGAGAGCUGUGGAUUGUGAGGGCCAAAUAAAAGAUGGCGAAUUUAUUGCAGAAAUUCUCAUCUCUGCCAUUGAGUCUGUGGGACCCCGCAAUGUUGUCCAAGUCAUAACGGACAAUGCAAAAAAUUGUAGAGCUGCUGGUUUGUUGGUUGAGCAACGCUAUGAUCACAUCUUUUGGACACCUUGUGCGGUACAUUCACUCAAUCUUAUGCUACAAAGGAUUGGGCAAAAAAUAAAAUGGAUCAGAGAUGUGUAUGCAGAGGCUGAGGACAUCCAGAUGUUCAUCACAAACCACCACAUGUCUCAAGGGAUUUUUAGAACCUAUUCGAAUUUGGAGGUAUUGAAGGUAAGUGAAAUAGUAAUUUAAUUUUACAUUUUCUGAUUUUUUUGAAUUUUCAAUGUUAAUAAUAUCAUUGUGUAAGCUAUAUUGUGUAUUCUUCUUUAAAGUUUGGCUUUAUUUUUUAAUAAUUUGGCAUUAAUUUGUGUUAUAGGUUGCUGAGACCCGUUUUGCAUCAAACACAAUCGUCUUAAGACGACUUGUGAAAGUUAGAGUGGCACUAUGCAAUAUGGUGAUCAGCACCAAUUGGACUGUAUGGAAGCAAAGUAGCACUGAGAGGGCAGGAAAAAUUAGGGAUAGAAUAUUGGAUGAGAAAUGGUGGGAUCUUGUUACAUAUCUCCUAAGUAUCACUGAGCCCAUCAUGAGCAUGAUUCGCUAUACAGACAUGGAUAGGCCUUGCAUAGGUGAGAUUUAUGAUGGCAUUGAUUCAAUGCUUGAAAAAAUAAAGUUCACUAUAAAUGAAAAAGAGAAUGAUCCUCAGGAGAAAUUCUUCAAAGAACUGGAAUUAAUUAUUGUAGAGAGGUGGAAUAAGAUGACCACUCCUUUGCACCUUCUUGCCUAUGCCUUGACACCUAAGUACUAUAGCAAUCAGUUUCUUGAUAAACCAGGAAGGAUUCCACCAUGGAGAGAUCUAGAAGUAUCUGAUGGGUAUAAGGCAGCAUUUCUUAGACUAUAUCCCGAUGAUGAUUUGCGAGAUGUUGUUACAAAUGAGUUCAUAGAAUUCGCAAAUGGGAAUGGUCUAAGUGUUGAUGCACUUCGUCAUAGAUCCAAGAAAGAUGCUCAUAGCUGGUGGUACUUCCAUGGCACAUGCUUCCAACACCUACAACCCCUCGCUAUAAAAGUUUUAUCACAAGUUGCUAGUUCAUCUGCUUCAGAAAGAAAUUGGAGCACAUACUCUUUCAUCCACUCAGUAAAGCGCAAUAGGCUGCUAUCAAAAAGAGCGGAGAAUUUAGUAUAUGUGCAUUCCAACCUACGUCUUCUUUCACACAAACAACAUGACUACACACAAGGGGAAACAAAGAUGUGGGAUAUAGAGCCAGAGCAUACUGAUUUGGAUGCUCCUGGUUCUCAGCUUCUUGCAUUGACACUUGAUGACUCGGAAAUUGAGCCAACUUAUAGUGCAAGUGCAAGUGGCAUUGGCUCAUGUAAUGUCAAUGUCAAUGAGGAUGAGGAGGAGGAGGAGGAGGAGGAUGAAGAAUUAGAUGAUCCAUUUGAUGAUUAAACUUUUAAGUUUAUAUUGUUGAAAGUUGAAACAAUGAUACUUGAAUAUUUUGUCAUUUUGAUAUUAAACUUGAUGUAUAUGAUGCUAUUAUCAAUUAUGGUAUGAUCAUGAUGCUAUGAUUACAAGUUUAUGUUUGUUUUGUUGUUCAUAUGAUGCUAUGUGACAUACAUAUUUUAAUUCAUGCUUAUAGGCUUUGAUAUAUAUAUAUAAAUUUACAUGUUUUUGUACUAACGAACCCAAACGAACCCAAACCCCUUUUCAAAAUUUUGCCGUACCGGCGUACCGGGUUCUUCGAACCCGAACCGGAACCCGAACCCGAACCGGCAACUUAGCUGAAUUCCAUACCCAACCCCAUAUUAGAAUUGGUAAAUUAGCUUUGAAGUAUGAGAAUUUAUCAUUUGUUAAAUUCGUCUCUUUAUAGGCACGCAAAUCUAUGCCAACUUGUAGAGCUUACCAGUUUGGAGAUAGUAGCCUUCCUUGGGCUUAAAAUCUACUCCUCUAUCCCAUGUAAAUACUGAAAUGCAUCCCAAAAAUCUGCAUCAUUGCCAUAUCCUUCACUAUAUCAAGGUACAAGGUAGUAUAGGGAGCAUGUUGACAAAUUGGUGCACGUUUAGAUUCAGCUCAGCCAUAUCCAUUGGGUUGUUUUGAGUGGCAUAAAUACCCACGUGCUACUUGUACCAUUCCCAUACUGAUGAACACUAAAACAUUGCGUUCAAUAUUGCGGCUAAGUCAGAAAUGGAUGGAGCGUCCAAGGCUGAAAUGAAAGGUGGUUAAGACAACAUAUCAAUAUACUCAUUCAUCACACCUCUCUUAUAUUUGAUAACCAAAUAAAAUUGUUGCAAGAAAUCGUUAAUCUAUCAAGAUAUGCUUGUGACAAUUUUGGUAUUGUUUGCAAAUGCUGGAGUGGUUUGUGACUUGUGUGGAUUUUAGUUUCCUUUCUAUUAGAUAGUGUUUCCAUAUCUUAAGUACUUGAACAAGUGCAUAAAAUUUCUUAUCACAUGUGCAAUAAUUUAAAAUUGUUCAAUGAAACAUAUUAGAAUUAUAAAAAAUGAGUUUAUCUCCUUGCAAAAGGACAAUCCCCUUGGCAUUGUCACUUUCACCUGUUUCCACCUCAUUGGAGCUGCAAAGUUGGUAGUGCCAAAACUAGUGCAUUGGUUAUAUUUUGCUUCAAUUCAACAAAUUCAUCUUGCGAUUACUACCCCAUGUAAAUGAUGUAUCACUUGGUGUUAAAUAAUGUAAAGGUGUGCUAUUACAAAAAUGGAUUCAAUGAACUUCAUCAGUACUUAGCUUGCUUUUGAAACUCUUUGUUUCCAUUAUGUUGUAAGGCAUUGGCUACUUCAAGACAACUCAUGUUUUCGUUGGUUUAAUUAUCAUCUGCAAUUCCAACCAUAUGUACCAAAUAAGUUAGUGAUGGUUGAGUAAACACAUUUUUCUUCUCUUUGAGCUGCAGCUCAUUUUCUUUCAAAACUUGUUUCAAAUGCAUUAGCUGCUCACCCAAGUGAAAACCAAGAUAGCAUCCAAUUAAACAAUGAAACAAGAAUUAGUAAAUGGUUUCAAUAUUUCUUUUACGAACUUUAUGAAAGUUGUCAGAACAUUACACAAUCUUAAAGGAAGUACAAGCCGCUUAUACAAAGCUUGCUUUGUCUUGAAUGCUGUUUUCCAAACAUUCUCAUUUGUUUUAAAAAACUUAAUGAAUCCCAGAUUUCAAAUGCAACUUUCCAUAUGCAAAUUAAAAUUAUAUUCUUCACGCCUAAGUCACCAGGUUCGGCCGAAUUUCAUCCUUAAAGUUCGAAAUUCGCCGAACAAAAAAAAAAAAAAAAAUCGUUGAAAUUCGCUGAACUUCAAAUUUUUUUUUUCUUUAUAAAUUUUUGGCUUUCUUCUUUUGUUAAUAUUUUUUAAGCACAUCUUUAGUCUGUCGUGAGUCGCGGCUUGCAGGAGAAGUAGUCACGGACCCGUGAUAGUCGCAGCCUGCAAGGGUAGUUCUUCGUGCCCUAGCAUAUGUUUCCUAUGGUUUAUAUUUUAUAAAUAUGUCAUCUUUUUGUAACGAUUUCAAAUCUAUUUAUCAAUGUUAAACUAUUUAGGCAAUUUUAUAGAUAUAUUACAUAUAUUUAUUAAAACAAUUUAAAAAUUACAUGUGGCGAAUUUAAUUCGAGUUUUAUACAUUUCGAGUUUUUCCCUCAUCGAACUUCAUUUGAAUUUCAAAGUUGUCAAACUUUGAAUUCGAAUUCGAACCUGGUGACUUAGCUUCACGCAUCUUCUAGUUCAUUGCAAGCUUGAUACUCUACCAAGUGAUCUUGGGGAAAUUUAGGUUCAGAGCAUCUGAUAUUGCGUCUACAUCUCUACAAAAUUGAAGAUUGAAGUUAGCUAGCUCUGGCAUCUGCAAAAUUUUCCUCGUCAUUCUUUCUAAAAUAUGAUUCUGAGCUUAUUGCAUGAUCAUAAAUCUUUUUAAUGAAGUUUUGUGUGGUACUUCAACCCUCUUUUAUUUGUCUUAUUAGUAAGGUAGUCAUACUAGGAGAUUGUAAAACCUCAAUGCAGUCUUUUAUCCUUAACAGUGAUAAUAAUCUUUAUGAUAAUUCUUGACACACUUUUUUUUAUUUUUAUUUCUAUUUUUAUAUAGUUUAGCUCACAAGGACAGUGCUCCAAGUUUUAAAGACUUGAGUGUAUUGCCAUGAGGUAUUUUGUAAUUGUAGGAUUAUUGUUUAUCAUACAAAGAAAGAUAUCCCUCUAGGUUGGACAAUUUUUUAAGGUCUGGCACUAUCUUUCAAUGUAGCUGUCAUUAGUUUUGCGUUCUGUUGACAUUAAAAUAUUCAAGAGUUUUGUUUGAUUUAGGUAUAUAAAACUGGGCUUUCUUUUGAUCUUCAAAAAUAAGGGUUAGCUCUUUUGUCACUUUAUUUUAAGGUUUUCUUCUAACAGAAUCAAGCUGCUAUACCCUUAAUAAAAACCAUUUCUCUCAUUUAGAUUGUACUUAUCUCAAAUAAUGACAACUCCUAUAUUUGCUUUCAAGGAAUAUGGGGAUAGAGUAUAAGUAGUAUAAGGAGGUGAAUGAGGUUUUUCCCCUCGUACAAUCAAAAAAGAGGAUCUGUUUAGGCCAAUAACAAAAAUGUUUGUUUCAAAAGAGAUGGUAACAGUCCCAAGACAUAUAUUGUUUUGGAAGCGAGUUUGAUAUUCUUACAUCGUUCUUUUUGAGCUUAGAGCUCAACUGGCUUUUAUAUAGCUAAUGCUUAUAGCUUUGA